rnacentral:ncRNA from 1 species
UUAGAUCUGGAUUCCUCUAUUGAAAAGUCAAGAUCUGAUUCUUCUAUUGAAUACGAUGAAACUGGUAAGUGAAUAGAACAUCCCAAAGGCUAAGCGCAAGAGGCUCACCUCAACAGUUACCCGAUCGAAAGGGCUUUUCAAUCCGUACGCCAGGUAAGCUCUAGAGUGCUGCACCCCAGAUGGCGAGAGUCCAGUAGUCGAAAGCAUCAAUGGCUUAUGCUCUGACCCGAGUAGCAUGGGGCACGUGGAAUCCCAUGUGAAUAAGCAAUGACCACCUUAUAAAGCUAAAUACUCCUGGGUAACUGAUAGCAAAGUAUUACCAUGAGGGAAA